AUUGAGCGCUGGCGGCAGGCUUAACACAUGCAAGUCGAGCGGGGGAAGGUAGCUUGCUACUGGACCUAGCGGCGGACGGGUGAGUAAUGCUUAGGAAUCUGCCUAUUAGUGGGGGACAACAUCUCGAAAGGGAUGCUAAUACCGCAUACGUCCUACGGGAGAAAGCAGGGGAUCUUCGGACCUUGCGCUAAUAGAUGAGCCUAAGUCGGAUUAGCUAGUUGGUGGGGUAAAGGCCUACCAAGGCGACGAUCUGUAGCGGGUCUGAGAGGAUGCUCCGCCACACUGGGACUGAGACACGGCCCAGACUCCUACGGGAGGCAGCAGUGGGGAAUAUUGGACAAUGGGGGGAACCCUGAUCCAGCCAUGCCGCGUGUGUGAAGAAGGCCUUAUGGUUGUAAAGCACUUUAAGCGAGGAGGAGGCUACUUUAGUUAAUACCUAGAGAUAGUGGACGUUACUCGCAGAAUAAGCACCGGCUAACUCUGUGCCAGCCGCCGCAGUAA
rnacentral:rRNA from 1 species